GACGAACGCUGGCGGCGUGCUUAACACAUGCAAGUCGAACGGAAAGGCCCUGCUUUUGUGGGGUGCUCGAGUGGCGAACGGGUGAGUAACACGUGAGUAACCUGCCCCUGACUUUGGGAUAACUUCAGGAAACUGGGGCUAAUACCGGAUAGGAGCUCCUGCUGCAUGGUGGGGGUUGGAAAGUUUCGGCGGUUGGGGAUGGACUCGCGGCUUAUCAGCUUGUUGGUGGGGUAGUGGCUUACCAAGGCUUUGACGGGUAGCCGGCCUGAGAGGGUGACCGGCCACAUUGGACUGAGAUACGGCCCAGACUCCUACGGGAGGCAGCAGUGGGGAAUAUUGCACAAUGGGCGGAAGCCUGAUGCAGCAACGCCGCGUGCGGGAUGACGGCCUUCGGGUUGUAAACCGCUUUCGCCUGUGACGAAGCGUGAGUGACGGUAAUGGGUAAAGAAGCACCGGCUAACUACGUG
rnacentral:rRNA from 1 species